CAGCCGCGGUAAUACGGAGGAGGCAAGCGUUAUCCGGAAUUAUUGGGCGUAAAGCGUCCGUAGGUGGUUGAACAAGUCAGUUGUUAAAGAGUGGGGCUUAACCCUAUAGAGGCGAUUGAAACUGUUUAACUAGAGUUAGGUAGGGGUUACGGGAAUUCCCAG
rnacentral:rRNA from 1 species